CCUACGGGAGGCAGCAGUGAGGAAUAUUGGUCAAUGGCCGGAAGGCUGAACCAGCCAUGCCGCGUGAAGGUCAGUGCCCUAUGGGCGUUAAACUUCUUUUGUGCGGGAGCAAUAAUGGUCACGUGUGGCCAGACGAGAGUACCGUACGAAUAAGCAUCGGCUAACUCCGUGCCAGCAGCCGCGGUAAUACGGGGGAUGCAAGCGUUAUCCGGAUUUAUUGGGUUUAAAGGGUGCGUAGGCUGGGAGGUAAGUCAGCGGUGAAAUGCCCCCGCUCAACGGGGUGAAGUGCCAUUGAUACUGGCUGGCUGGAAUGCGGAUGCCGUAGGAGGAAUGUGUGGUGUAGCGGUGAAAUGCAUAGAUAUCACACAGAACACCGAUUGCGAAGGCAUCUCACGAAUCCGCGAUUGACGCUGAUGCACGAAAGCGUGGGUAUCAAACAGGAUUAGAUACCCCAGUAGUC
rnacentral:rRNA from 1 species